rnacentral:lncRNA from 1 species
CGAUAAUUAGUGAAAAAGUAAGAGAGAUUAGUGGAAUGGAAGAAUGGAUUGGGAGACAUGGGAAGCAGUGGCAGUGAGGUGAAAGUUGAGUGGACCACUCUCAUUUUCUUUUAUGUUUUGUCUUAACCUAGAAGCACAGGCGGGGACCACCAAACAGUUCCGCGUGACCUUUGUCUCCUUUUCUGUUUUUCUCUUUCAUCUAAGAAAUAGGUUGAGCCGCCGGCACCUCUUAUCUUCCAUCCUUCUCUGUUCACUACUAUUCAUCUUCAUUCACUGUCUUCUGUUAUGUUCUGUGUCUUCUGUCUUCUGUCUUCUGUUCUGUUCUGUUCUGUUACAGCCCCACCACCUUCUACCUCGCAACCUCAUUCAUUCACCUUAGGCCCGCACUCCUAAAUCUUCUGUGGUACUAUGUUGUGGUCCAUGAAACCUCCUUAGGACACGUGUCGUUCCUGGGUGCUCACGUCCUUUUCGGGUUGGGUAGUGCCCAGCCCACACUACUCCUACUCCUCUCAUACGUCCUUUUGGGGUUUGGGUCCGCCCAGAAUAAUGCUCU